UCUUAGGCCGAAUCAGGUUUCUAACCUCAAAUUUUGACAAAUGGGGUUAAUACCGCUAACUGACCUGGACAAUAUCAACAGAAAUGUGUUUUAAGCAAAACAUACGCUAAACGAAUUCCAAACCAGAGAAAUUAGGCGAAAUUUCUCCACCAUCAGCCGGAACUUCAUCUUGUCAACGUAAUAGCUACAAGUUGUCCAUACAUUCCAAAAUCAGUGCAUGGAAAACAGUAUGGUGCUAUAGAAAAUCAACUUAAUCAGAGUCAUUAUAUUUAAAAGGACAAACCGUUCACAGGUAACAUCAUUUAACAUAUUAAUAACACAUUCUCUUUGAUUGAGAUAGUUUUCCAUAGCACAAUUAAUUCUAGUUCUAAUAUGUAGUUCCACAAUAAUUUUAUUAUUUACAAGUACCCAGGCAACAUGAUGUCGUCUUUUUCACGUGAAUAAAUGGUCAUCAUUUACGUCAUAGUGACCAAAGAUUUCACGUGAUAUUGACGUACCAAUGACGGUCAAAUGUCUCGUCCAGAUGACGUCAUUUUCUAACGAACUAUUGACGUGAUGUACUGACGUCUUAGAGUCGUCAUUUUGUAACGAACUAUUGACGUGAUGUACUGACGUCCUAGAGACGGCAUUUAUUGUCCAUUUUAAGAUUAUAUUUUGAUUUUUAGAAAAAAAUAUGCAAUAAAUAAAACGCUGAAAUAAUUUUAUAUUUUUAUAUUGUUUACCUUGAAAAUAAAAUAUUAUAAUUCGUUAUAAUCACCAGGUAAACCCCAUAACAAAGUAUAUAUUAAUUAAAGUUAAAACAAAUUAGUGUAAAAAAAUUAAAUUUACUACAGUUCUGUACAACCAACAAUGAACUUCAAUAAACAAAUAAAAAAAUAUGUCAAUUAAACAAAUUAAAGAUAAACCACUCCUAAGAACACAAACAAAUCUACAUACAGGUAAUUACGAGUAUAAUUAGUAUAAACAAAAAAAAAGGAUAAUGUACAAUAUAUAAUCAAAAAUAAACGUUGCAAUAAAAUAUGCUAUUUAAAGAAAAAUCAGUUUUAAAAACACAAAGAGAUCUAUUUAGUUACAAAGAAUAUUAAAAGAAAACUAUAAUACACUAUAAAUCAGUCUUAAAAACACAAACAAAUCUAUUUACAAAAAAUAUUUAAAAAAAACUAGAAUAAAGGGAAAAGACAAUUGAAUCGCAUUGUUGAAGUUACUUGAUUUGAAAAAGCACUGUAAAACCACAUUAUAUGUAACACUAUCUAAUUCACGACGAUUUGACUGUCCCCAACACACAAAAAAGUACCGUUAAGAAUUAAUUCUGCUUUAACAAUCAUAUCAAUAACCUAAGUUUUUUAAGUUUGCCUCAAUUUAUUGCACUGAAAAGAAAAACCCGUUAGAGUGCAUGGAUUAAUGGAAAUGCAAUCAUUUUUUCGUUUAUGAGCAAUAACAAGCAUUGCCCAUAUUUGGCUAUUAUUAAAUUUAAGGGAUUACAGCUUAAAGCAGAAGAUAAAUUCUGCAUUUUAAAAAUGCUAAAUUUACUUGAAUCUAACGGAUAAUCGUAAAAUGGUUGCAUUGACAAAAACGUACAGCCUAUCAGGAAAAUCUCGUUGUCAAUACUUUGUACAAUGAAGCGAAAUGUUAUCAAAAAGUAUCGUAGUAUUACAGGCAUCUACCUAUAUAUAAUAUCCAAUGUUAUGUUAUAUAUGUAUAUAUAAAUCCAUUGUAUUUUUUUAACUUACAAAGAAAUCUGCUUGUUCUAAUUUGCAAAGAUAAUCUUGUAAUUCGUCAAAAUUUGUUUAGGUGUGGUCUUGGCGGCAUAAUUUCUAUUUUUGUUUUCUUUUUCAAUUGUCAGAUGUGAUGACGUUUCCAUGUUGGGAGAUUUUUUCACUCGUUUCCUUCAGCAUUUCUUUCGUUUCGCACAUGUGUUUUGUAUUUGUUUCAAAUCUAGAAUAAAAUUAUGUUCAUUACAUUAGCAUUUAGUUCAUAAAAAAUUGCAGUAACAUACCUUUACAAUAUUUUAUGGCGUCUCAUUUUCAAAAACAAUCACCGUAAGUUCUUCAUAAUCAGUGAGAGUAUCUUCAGUGAUUAAUGGUAGUCUUUCCAGCUUAUCUGAAAAAACUGCUUUUGUUAUCUACGUACAGUUAUCAAAAAUAACAGAAACACGUAAAAAUUAAAAUGAUUACUUUAUUAGAUAUUAACUUACCUCGUAUAAAUAAGUACAACCUACACUGAAUGGCAGAAAUUUUCACAAAACUGCGUUAAAAAUGAAGUGAGUAAUAACGGAUACACUGUUACGAAUUGAAAAUUCGCAGUAGCUAUUUCGGUUUUUAUUGGCAUUCUCGGAUCGGAUUACAUUUUGUUUACUCGUUUUUUUUUCGUUUCGUCAUUUCGUGCAUGGGUGGUUGGGUUGGGCACGGUGGCAAUGAAGGACAACUUUGGUGGAGGGUUCGUCCCGAGCUUUUGACUCCCCCAGUCGCAAGACUGUCGCGAUGAUGCUGAGCUUGGAGGGGCUCAGAUGAGUGUUUCGGCCUCGCUGUUGUAGAUCGGUCUUCUGGAUCGUUUCAGCUUGGUUCUUGCUAUAAGGAACUGGAUGGAUCGCGCCAUCCCAGAGCUUCACUCUGAAAUUCGAUUUUCGUUCUGUUUGUUAUUUUUGUUCGCGAAUUUCAUUUGCUUACCUAGGUGGGAACAAACGCCGUGGAGCGUCCCCUAGAGUCUUCGUCAUUUCUGGAAUCUUGAUAGCCUUGUUUGUUUUUUUCUUUUGUUAAUAACCAUCGCAUCCACUCAUUAGUUACAUCGAUUAGGGAUUUUCGUCGGAAUUCGACGUUUCGUAAGUUUGCCACUAGAGGGCCAAACUUCCGUGAACUCUCGCUUCGUUACCUUGCCACGUCAUCGCAGGUGGAAGGGAAUCCAUUUUGCUUUGGUACUCCGUGUUGAAUGGUGUUGGGGGUUAGUGCUUUCCUCUUUUGCAGUUCGUUUUAGCAACCUUUUCUUUGGCGUUACGUUUGGAAUCGCAUUCGUCGGAUCUGUUGGGUCCCCUAAAAGGUGCUAUCGCUUGGAGCGCAUUUGUGAGCUGUAAAAGAAAUAGUGCGUUCGAGCACUACGACUUCGUCGGAUUUUUUUUGAUUAAGAGCACUAGACCAUCCCGCUAAAAUCGGAGAAGCUGCAGUCGAUCCGCAGGUAAAUCUUUUGAUUAGCUUUUCCCUGGCAUCCCUUCGAACAGUGGUUAUGGUUAUUUUCAUGUUAACGAUAAUAUUUUACUACUUACCAAGUGCAUGUGACAUGUGGAACCCUUGGGGUUGACUGAGUUCGAACAUCUUCUCAGACUUUGCUCUCCUUGCAGCUUUUUUGUUUUGUCGCUGAUCUUGUUAUUCCCGUGAUCGAGAAUUGGAGCCAGUUUUGAGUGGGAGAACGAAUUCUAUGAAUUCCAACUGUCGUGGGCAGUUGUGAGCCCUCCCAGAACAGCUGGAGAGUUACCAUCGGUUGGACAGGCCGUCACCAAAAACCUCGACUCGACAUCGACUGGAAAUUCGCUGCGACGCCGCUGUGUUUCGACAUCUCGUCGUGGAUAUCGAAGGAGGCAGGUGCCCAUGGUACUUCCAUUCCAUCUCAUUAAGUUUAAGUAUUAGUCGCCUUACCUUUUCUUUAUUGUAUCGCAAAACGUUUCGAAGUUUGGCGUAACUAGCACUCGCACAUAACUUAGUAAUAACAACCGGUAAGACUGUGACGCUCCGCUCUACGUUGAUACCUUCGUACGUUCGUUAGGACUACCGAGCGUGUGGCCUACUUCGUUUAUCCCAUAGCCCUCGAAAUAAUUAAUCAAAUCGUUAUUCGUUACGACUCCAACUAAUUUAUUCGCUUCGUAAACAUCGUUCGUAUCGCUCGUAUUUAUCGUUAAUUAGUUCGUCGCCUUUCGUAAUUAAACUAUCGUUCGUAUUGCUCGUAUUUAUCGUAAACCGUUAGUCGCAUUAAAUCAUUAUCAUUAAUAUCUUACUCAUUUUCUUUUGCUUAAUUAUUUAGUUAUUUCUCACUCUUACUUUUUUUAAUUAGUGACCUUAGGUUUUAUUGUAAUCAAAUAUUUUAAGUAACAGCUUGCAAUUACAAUAGUUAAAUAUUUUUCCGGUUUUUUGUUGUUGUAAUUGUGUCUUAAUAAAAACUGGUGGCGCCCUGGCGACGUCGCUACACAAAACAGUGUGCUCUCUCUUCUUUGCGAACCUCUAGCGACCUGACCCUUUGCACCCGCAGGAACUCACCCCUUCUCCACUAGCAGGCCGGCAACGAGCUGUGAGUUUGGCUCGUAACAACACGAGAAAGUUUCGGUGGUUGAGAACCAACUGGAAAUGUUGGAAUGCUUCACCGUGAAGUGCAAUAAACAUAAAUACCGAAAAAAGGGCAAGUCCGAAUGCACACCCCAAACAUCUGAUGUAUUGUAUAGUAAAUACGGAAGUUGAGCAUUAUUUUCCCAUUAGAUGAAAUAAAUUUAAUAAAACUAAAUAUUAAAUCACUCUCUAAUUUUUUUGGUAACCAUCAUCACUUUAUAAACGUCUUUAUAAAAUCAAAAUUCGACGAAGGAAUUCUUCAAAACCUUGUCCCGUUUUAGGGACAAUGGACAAAGAAUUGUUAUUACUCUGUUUGUGUCGUAGGGUCUUUUCACUAUUAUACGCUCAAGCCCGGAUGUUCUGUUUAUAAUUUGCCAAGCAGGUACUUACAAAAUAACACUUCCAGAGUAAAUAAGUUUUUAGAAAUAAUUAUUUUAUUAUAAAUUAUUAGAAUGAAGAAACUUGUCUUUGGUGUAUUUCUAAUAAAGCCGUUGUAUUUUUUGCUCUAAAUAUAAUUAAGCAUUAUGAAGGCCACUUUUUAAAGAAUACGACGACCCACAUUUAAUUGAUCAUAUAAUCUAUAAAAAAUGACGAAGGAAAGACGGCCUUUUGACGUCAUUAAUUGACGUCAGAAGUAAGUCAUAAAAAUCUCGUCAUUAUCACGUGAUUUUUUGGGCGAAUGACGUCGCCGACGAGCUAUGACCAAAAAUUGACGUGAAUUAGACGACAGUCUGCUGCUUGGGUAGUGUUGUGAAUGGUUGCUCCAAUGUGUAAUUUAUUUCGUCUGUGUGUGUCUUUUUUGUCACGAUCGCUCAACGAAUGCAGCAUUCAUGUCUAACAAAUGGCAAUGCUAGAUUCACUGUUCACGCAUUCAGGACGCGUUUUUGUAUUUGCAUCUGUUCGGCGCUUAGAAUACAAAAUAUUCAAAAAUUUUAAAUUGUCAAGUGCCAUGAUACCUUUUAACCACUUAUGCUCAGAAUUAGCAAGAAACGACGUCAAGGCUGUUUUCCAUCGUCGAAUAUUUUUCUCAUUAUAUAGAUCCACUCAGUUUGCAUAACUAAAAUGAACAUUUUGUACCAAAUCGUGGUUCUCUUGGAGCGUCGAAAUGGCUUGUGGUUUAAGUUUGUUCAUAGUGUUUUAAACAUUUUACAACGAUUUUCCAUAAACAUUCUCUUUUGACAAACUGACAAAGUUUGUUUCAGAGAGGAAGCGGGAAAUUUACUGUGACCAAAUACUGAAAAUGCUAGAAGCAUAGCAACUACGAAACUUUUUUUUUCUUGAAAAUUGGUACACAGAUGGAAAAACACUUAACAAAACCAAAGCACAUAACUGAAGCAGGUAUCCUUUUGGGAAUAGUUGUUGAUAGAAAGUGUAAAAAUCUGAAUUGGAACAAAAAUACCGAAGACGGACUGCAACCUUGUCGUAUUUUCUGGCUUAAUUAUAGCUUUUUCAGUUUAUUAAAAAAAGUAUCAUGACAUGUGAGGGAUAUUUUUACUUUGUAGUUGAGAUAUGUACAUAUAUUGUAGUUUAUAAGUUUAUUACUAGUAAUAUAACGGUGAUUACUCCAACUAAUAAGGAUUUCAACAAACCUAUGUAUCUAAACAGUGUAAUCAAUCGUUCCUAUGUUGUAAAUAAGUAUGUAAAUAAUGAAUUAAUGUGUACAUAUGUUGAAAUAGAUUGUUGUUUGUUAUCAAACAUUUGAAUAAAAUACAUUUCUUGGAAUUUUUAAUUAAA